rnacentral:misc_RNA from 1 species
AUCUCUUCCAACAUGUCUG